ensembl:snoRNA
GCCCUCCAGAUCCCUUUCCCAUCAGAUCUGAAUACCGAUCUUGUGGUCAAAAAAGGAGGAAAAUUAACAUUCAGACUGGUCUCAGCCUCUUUGCUGGUACAGCCCUGCUCUGAGAGGG